GCCCACGCGUCCCGGGCUUCAGGGGAGCACCUGGGAAGCGCUGGGGGUCGCGUGCCCUUGGCCGGAGGCCUGGUCACCCGCAGGCCCUGCCAUCCUCGGCUUGGCCGCUGCUGCCCGCGCGCCUGUGGCGGAGCGAGCCUGCCUCCAGGGCAGCCUCACCGCCUGGAUCCUGGGCAGGAGACCUCCCAGGUCCCUUCCUCUCUCCAGCUGUCUGGAAUGGAGCCGCCAUGUCUGGUGCUCAAGCGGCCAGCUCUGACCCAGAGGUAACACGUUAUGGAUUGUGGAGCCGCAGGAUGGAGUAGCCUGGGUCUGAUGGUUCUGUUAGUCAAGGCUAUCCAAAGAAGCAGGACCAAUAGGAAAUACAUAUGUUUACCCAGGUGUGGGGAGUAGAGAAGGCCCCUGUGAUGAAGAGCCUCCAGUGCCAGGACCAAUAUGGCAGAUGUUAGGAACAGUGGACUGACCUGCUUUCCAAUGCUUGCUGAAAAGUCACCUGGCAGCAAGAGGUUAACCAGUGUUGGUUCCUGUUGUUUACAACCAAGAAUCCUGAGAAGUUCAUAUGUAGCCCACACAUAAGCUGAAGUAUUGCCUUAUGACAUAUUCUGAAUAUUCCAAUUAUUUUGCAAAUAAUUCCACUAAGAGAUUAAUACAUUCUAGAGCAUGUAGCUGUGGUUCAUUCAUUUUCAUAACUGUGUAAUAUUUCAUUGAAUAAAUUUGCUCUUUCUAUAUUUUCAAACCACUUUAUUGAGAUAUUGUUGAAAUGUUAAAAAGUUGUACAUAUUGAAUGUAUGUAACUGGAUUUUGAGGGUAAGUAUACACCCAUGAAACUAUCACUACCAUCCAUCACCUCCUAGCUUUCUCUCACCCCCUUUAUCAUCAUCAUCAUUAGUAUUAUUUGUGCUGUAAUAUAUUUAUCCAUUUUAUUUUUGAUGGACAUUUGAUAUUGAUGGGUAUUGUUUUCAAGUUUUGCAUUACAAUGCUGAUAUAAGGAUUUCUGUAUGUAUAUUUUAGUGUACAUGAAAAAGUAUUUUUCUGUGAUAUAUUCCUGAGAAUAGAAUUGCUAAAUCAUAGAAAAUGCAUAUGUUUAAACUUAUUAGAUAAUGCUAUUUUUCUAAAGUGAGUAAAACAACUUAUUCUCCCACCAGGAGUUACUGAGAGAAUUUAAAUAUUUGCCUAAAAGUCCUUUAAUAUUUUGUUACAUUUAUGGCUAGGUAUUUUAUGUUUUGGUUGCUUUUAUAAGUAGUAAUUUUUUAUUUUUUAACCAUCAGUUACUGGUGUAUAGAUAUGCAGCUGACUUUUGUAUAUCAAAUUUAUGUCUAGAAACCUUACUAAUCUCAGAUUUAUUUGGGUUUUUUCUGGGAAAGACAAUCAUAUUAUCUGGAAAUAAUGCCAAUUUUGUUUUUAAAUUUGUAGUUCUUAUACUUUGUAUUUCUUUUUCUUGUCUUAUUGCACAAUGUGGGAACCUUCAGUAGAAUGUUCACUAUAAAUGGCACUGGCAAACAUUUUUGCUUUAUUUGACUUUAAAGGAGUUGCUUUUAAUAUUUGACUAUUUAAUAUGACAUAUGCUGUAUUUAAAUCUUUAAAAAAGUCUAAGAAAAAUUUUCUAUUUCUAGUUU
rnacentral:lncRNA from 1 species